rnacentral:rRNA from 1 species
CAAUAGCGUAUAUUAAAGUUGUUGCGGUAAAAAGCUCGUAGUUGGAUUUCUGUUGAAGACGUCCGGUCCAUACCACGUAUGCGCAUCUGGCUCGGCUUCGGCAUCCUCUCGAAAGACGUUUCUGCGCUUGAUUGCGUGGAGCGGAUCUCGGGACUUUUACUUUGAGGAAAUUAGAGUGUUCACGGCAGGCUAUCGCCAGAAUACAUUAGCAUGGAAUAAUACUAUAGGAUCUCGGUUCUAUUUUGUUUGGUUUCUUAGGACAUACGCAAUGAUUAAUAGGGACAAUUGGGGCGGAUUCGUAUUAACGCGUCGAGAGGUGGAAUUCUUAGAUUGCGUUACGACGAACUACUGCGAAAGCAUUUGCCAAGGAUGUUUUCAUUGAUCAAGAACGAAAGUAUGGGGAGUCGAAGACGAUU